AUGACCCUUUCUCUGCCAUCAGCAGAGAAGAACAUCCAUAGACAUGGAGCUGCUGCAGCAGCUAGACCACUUCCUACAGGAGGAGUUGAAGGUGGAGCAUGCCUCGAACCUGCGACGCACCCGGUGAUCUAUGGUAUGAUGGCUGACUUUGCAGUUCCUGUUACUUCAAAAACCGAGCGACGCCUUCAUGUUCACCCACGAAGACAUAUCUCCCUUCGCCUCCCGCCGACCCCCGAGGGGCACCUUCAACACCUCCUCACCUUGACGACACACACUGUGGCUGAAUCUCAAUAGUCUAGAUAAUAGCUUCCUCUGUCACUUUAGUGAGGACAAUACUGUUCUGGUUACACUAGUAUGUACAGAGGCCCUUGAUCAUCAAAUAUGAACGCUUUUAUGGAGGUUUUGUCUUUUAUUUUGUGACACUGUUUUUACGCUCUUUUUGUUUGUAUUGGCUGCACUAAACAAAUUUCAAUCAACUCUGUUGAUAUUGGGAUUGCAACAGUUGUCAGUUGGUGUGACUAAAAUACAAUUUCAUGUCUUGUAUAUUUUCCAUGCUUUUUCUUUUAAGAACUUUAUCCUCGAGUGUUAUAAUUUCAGUAACAGCUACUUUGCUUUGGCUCUUAUCACCCCAUAAAUUUGUAUGAAUAAAAUUAUAAAUUAAAGUAAUGCUAUGUCUCUGAUCUGGUUUCUGAGUGGGAUACUUUGCUGAGCCUACUUUCAACGGGCCUUUUGUAUUUAUUACGACUCCCCAUUAGCUGCUGCAGAGGC
rnacentral:lncRNA from 1 species